rnacentral:rRNA from 1 species
AGCCAAAUUCUAGCCCAAAAUACAUUGAUCUGAAAUAACAAAGCCACUCUGUAUGACUAACUAAAGCAUUUACCAGUCUCAGUAUAGGCGAUAGAAAAGACCCCAUUGGAGCGAUAGAGACCACGUACCGUAAGGGAAGGAUGAAAUAGUAGUGAAUAAUCAAGCGCAAAAAAGCAAAGAUUAACCCUUGUACCUUUUGCAUCAUGGUCUAGCAAGAAAAACCAAGCGAAAUGAAUUUAAGUUUGCCACCCCGAAACCCAAGCGAGCUACUUACGAGCAGCUAGUGCCCAACACUGAGCGAACCCGUCUCUGUUGCAAAAGAGUGGGACGACUCGUUAGUAGAGGUGAAAAGCCAACCGAGCUGGGUGAUAGCUGGUUGCCUGUGAAACGAAUCGUAGUUCACUCUUAAUUCUCCUCCAAGGAAACCACACAAAACCCUAAUGAAGCGAAUUAAGGGCAAUUUAAAGGAGGUACAGCUCCUUUAAAAAAGAAUACAGUCUCUACCAGCGGAUAAAUUGAACUUAGACUGAAUGACUUGUGGGCCCUAAAGCAGCCACCAACAAAGAGUGCGUCAAAGCUCCCACCACAAAAAUAUAUAAAUUACAUGACUCCCUCACCACUAACAGGCCAACCUAUACCAAUAGGAGAAUUAAUGCUAGAAUGAGUAACUGGGGUCCUCCCUCUACGACGCAAGCUUACAUCCUUACAUUAUUAACAAGUACACAAUAUACGACCAUUCAAACAAGCAAAGUAUAGCCUAUCUUGUUAACCCGACAGAGGAGCGUCCAUUAAGAAAGAUUAAAACCUGUAAAAGGAACUAGGCAAAUUACCAAGGCCCGACUGUUUACCAAAAACAUAGCCUUCAGCAAACAACCAGCAAGUAUUGAAGGUGAUGCCUGCCCGGUGACCUGAUGUUAAACGGCCGCGGUAUCCUAACCGUGCAAAGGUAGCGCAAUCAAUUGUCUCAUAAAUCGGGACCUGUAUGAAUGGCUAAACGAGGUCUUAACUGUCUCUUACAGGCAAUCAGUGAAAUUGAUCUUCCUGUGCAAAAGCAGGAAUAAACCCAUAAGACGAGAAGACCCUGUGGAACUUUAAAAUCAGCGACCACCCUACAACAUAUUCCCGCCCAAAGGGCACACUGACGUCAAUAGGGACUGGUCUGCAUUUUUCGGUUGGGGCGACCUUGGAGAAAAACAGAACCUCCAAAAAUAAGACCACACAUCUUAACUAAGAGCAACCUCUCAACGUGCUAAUAGCACCCAGACCCAAUAUAAUUGAUCAAUGGACCAAGCUACCCCAGGGAUAACAGCGCAAUCCCCUUCGAGAGCCCAUAUCGACAAGGGGGUUUACGACCUCGAUGUUGGAUCAGGACAUCCUAGUGGUGCAGCCGCUACUAAGGGUUCGUUUGUUCAACGAUUAAAGUCCUACGUGAUCUGAGUUCAGACCGGAGCAAUCCAGGUCGGUUUCUAUCUAUGAAAAACUCUUCCCAGUACGAAAGGAUAGGAAAAGUGAGGCCAAUACUCCAGGCAAGCCUCCACCAUAAGUAAUGAAUAAAACUGAAUUACGAAAGGUUAUCACACACUCACCAAUGUCCUAGAAAAGGACCA